rnacentral:rRNA from 1 species
UACAGAGGGUGCGAGCGUUAAUCGGAAUUACUGGGCGUAAAGCGCACGUAGGCGGCUUGGUAUGUCGGGUGUGAAAUCCCCGGGCUCAACCUGGGAACUGCAUCCGAAACUGCCUUGCUCGAGUAUGGGAGAGGGAAGUGGAAUUUCCGGUGUAGCGGUGAAAUGCGUAGAUAUCGGGAGGAACACCAGCGGCGAAGGCGGCACUCUGGGCUGGUACUGACGCUCAGGAGCGAAAGCGUGGGGAGCAAACAGG